GGCUUUUAGACUAAAAUUUGACAUAUUAUGCUUUUGGGCUAAAUUUUAACCUUUUAUAUUGAAAAUUUGACAUAUAGUCAAAUCGCCAAUUUGGCAAUCUGUUGGAAUAAAAGUUGACAUACAAGUAUACAACCAAUCUGCCAAUCUGUGCACAAUAGCAUCUGUGAUCUGCCUAUUCAAUUUCUACUACACAUGCAUGCAAUAAAAAUAAAUUAAGUAACAAAUCUAAGAGCAAAAAAAAUAAGUUACAAGCCAAGGUUUUAAAAUAAAUAAAGUAACAAACCCAAAAGCAAAAAAAUUAGUUACGAGCCAAAGUUUCAAAAUAAUGAAGUUACAAACCAAAAGCAAAAAAGCAAAGCUUAAAGUUUAUGAAGAUUAUUGGUCUCUUAUGUUGAUUGUUGAGCCUUUCCCGUUAAAAUUGGUAGUCGUGGAGGUAGUGAUUGAUUUUGACAUUGUUGAACUUUAACUUGAGGUGUUCGAGGAGGUGGAGGUGGCCUCAUUUUCUUAGAAGGGUUUUAGAUUUUUUGUUAUCAAGAUUGUGGUAUUUUGGCAGGAAUUGCUUUCAUUUCCUCCAUAUUUUCUAUAAAGAUGUAUGUUUGGUGCAAAGCUUUUGGUAGUUUGAAUUGAAGAUGUAGAUUCCAAUAGCAAAGCUUGGAAUUAUUUUGUGGGUUGGUUAAGCUAAAAUUAUACUAUGAAAUCAAAUGCUUAAAUUUUUUUUGUUACCUAUAUAAAGUUAUAUAAUAAUACACUUGAAACUUUCAAAUUAGACAACAUUAACACAAUUUUAUAUGAUAAAUUAUAUUCCUACCACAUCUAUCAGAAAAAUAUAUUCAAUUUAAAAUUAAAAUUUCAAGCGCAGACUCUUAGAUUCAAACAAUAAACAAAUAAACUAAUUAAGAAUAAAGUGGUAAAAAGCCCACUAAUUGACGAGAGAAAUGAGUGGGACUUUCACACUUGCAGACUAUCUUUGUAGACUGUGAAUUUGUGGCUUUUUAGACAAAUGAGCCAUAGUUUUCUAACUGUGCCUUCAGAAAACUAAAUAGUUAAAUGCCAAACAUGAAAGCUAACAAUUACUCCUAAAAAACAUAUAAGUACUUAUUCAAAUGAAUAAAAUAAUAAAACCUAAUAAUUACUUCCUAGGGGUGGUUCGGUAUGGGAUACCGAACCAAAACCCUUAUUCCGAUUCCCAAACUGAAAUGUUUUGGAAUCCUAAUUUCAACACCAAUCCCAAACCAAUUUUUCGGGAAUCCCAAUUUUGGGAAUCCUGAAAUAGUUUAGAGAUUUUGGGACAAAACGGGAAUACCGAAAUGGUUUUCGGCUUUUGGACAAAAAUUUGACAUAUUGUGCUUUUGGGCUAAAAUUCAACCUUUUAUAUUGAAAAUUUGACAUAUAGCCAGGCUGCCAAUCAGCCAAUCUAUUGGACUAAAAGUUGACAUACGAGUAUAAAGCCAAUUUGCUAAUCUGUUCACAAUAGCAUAUGUGAUCUUCCAAUUCAAUUUCUACUACACAUGCAUGCAAUAAAAAUAAAUUAAGUAAUAAAUCCAAAAGCAAACAAAAUUAGUUACAAGCCAAGGUUUUAAAAUAAAUAAAGUAACAAACCCAAAAGCAAAAAAAUUAGUUACGAGCCAAAGUUUCAAAAUAAUUAAGUUACAAACCAAAAGCAAAAAAGCAAAGCUUAAAGUUUGUGAAUAUUGUUGGCCUCUUAGGUAGAUGGUUGAUCCCUUCCCUUUAAAAUGGGUGGUCGUGGAGGUAGUGAUUGAUUUUGUCGUUGGUGAACUUCAACUUGAGGUGUUCGAGGAUGUGGAGGUGGAGGUGGCAUUUCAUUUUCUUAUAAGGGUUUAGAUUUUUUGAUAUCAAGACUGUGGUAUUUUGGCAGGAAAUUGCUUUCAUUUCCUCCCUAUUUUCUAUAAAGAUGUAUGUUUCGUGCAAAGCUCUUGGUAGUUGGAAUUGAAGAUGUAGAUUCCAAUAGCAAAGCCUGGAAUUAUUUUGUGGGUUGGUUAAGCUAAAAUUAUACUACAAAAUCAAAUGCUUAAAAUUUUUUUUGUUACCUAUAUAAAGUCAUAUAAUAAUACACUUGAAAGUUUCAAAUUAGACAAUUUUAUGUGAUAAAUUAUAUUCCUACCACAUCUAUCAGAAAAAUAUAUUCAAUUCAAAAUUAAAAUUUCAAGCACAGACUCUUAAAUUCAAACAAUAAACAAAUAAACUAAUUAAGAAUAAAGUGGUAAAAAUCUUACUAAUUGACUAGAGAAAUUAGUGGGACUUUCACACUUGAAGACUAUCUUUGUGGACUGUGAAUUCGUAGCUUUUGGAAAAAAUGAGCUGUAUUAUUCUAGUUGUACCCUCAGAAAAUUGAAUAGUUAAAAGCCAAACUUGAAAGCUAACAAUUACUCUUAAAAAACAUAUAAGUACCUAUUCAAAUAAUAAAACCUAAUAAUUACUUCCUAGGGGUGAUUCGGUAUGGGAUACCGAACUGAAACCCUUGUUCCGAUUCCCAAACCGAAAUUUUCGGGAAUCCCAAUUUUGAAUACCGAUCCCAAACCAAUUUUUUGAGAAUCCCAAUUUUCGGGAAUCCUGAAAUAGUUUCGAGAUUUCGGGACAAAUUGGGAAUCCCGAAAUGGUUUUGGGCUUUUGGACAAAAAUUUGACAUAUUAUACUUUUGGGCUAAAAUUCAACAUUUUAUAUUGAAAAUUUGACAUAUAGCCAGACUGCCAAUCUGUUGGACUACAAGUUGACAUACAAGUAUACAACCAAUAUGCAAAUAUGUGCACAAUAGCAUCUGUGAUCUGCCUAUUCAAUUUCUACUACACAUGCAUGCAAUAAAAAUAAACUAAGUAACAAAUCCAAAAGCAAAAAAAAUUAGUUACAAGCCAAGGUUUUAAGAUAAAUAAAGUAACAAACCCAAAAGCAAAAAAUUUAGUUACAAGCCAAAGUUUCAAAAUAAUUAAGUUAUAAACCAAAAGCAAAAAAGCAAAGCUUAAAGUUUAUGAAGAUUGUUGACCUCUUAUGUUGAUGGUUGAGCCCUUCCCUUAAUGGGUGGUUGUGGAGGUAGUGAUUGAUUUUGACGUUAUUGAACUUCAACUUGAGGUGUUUGAGGAGGUGGGGGUGACAUUUCAUUUUCCUAGAAGGGUUUUAGAUUUUUUGAUAUCAAGAUUGUGGUAUUUUGGCAAGAAAUUGCUUUCAUAUCCUCCCUAUUUUCUAUAAAGAUGUAUGUUUGGUGUAAAGCUCUUGGUAGUUUGAAUUGAAGAUGUAGAUCCCAAUAACAAAGCCUGGAAUUAUUUUGUGGGUUGGUUAAGCUAAAAUUAUACUACGAAAUCAAAUGCUUAAAUUUUUUUUGUUACCUAUACAAAGUUAUAUAAUAAUACACUUGAAACUUUCAAAUUAGAUAACAUUAACACAAUUUUAAUAUGAUAAAUUAAAUUCCUACCAAAUUUAUCAGAAAAAUAUAUUCAAUUCAAAUUUUAAAAUUUCAAGCGCAAACUCUUAAAUUCAAACAAUAAACAAAUAAGCUAAUGAAGUAAGUGGUAAAAAGCUUACUAAUUGACGAGAGAAACGAGUGGGACUUUCACACUUGCAGACUAUCUUUGUGAACUGUGAAUUCGUAGCUUUUUGGAAAAAUAAGCCGUACUGUUCUAGAUGUGCCUUCAUAAAACUGAAUAGUUAAAAACCAAACUUGAAAGCUAACAAUUACUCCUAAAAAAUGUACAAGUACUUAUUCAAAUGAAUAAGAUAAUAAAACCUAAUAAUUACUUCCUAGGGGUGGUUCGGUAUGGGAUACCGAACCGAAAUCCUUGUUCCGAUUCCCAAACCAAAAUUUUCAAGAAUCCCAAUUUCAAUACCUAUCCUAAACCAAUUUUUCGAGAAUCCUGAAAUAGUUUUGGGAUUUCGGGAUAAAUCGGGAAUCCCGAAAUGGUUUUGGGCUUUUGGACAAAAAUUUGACAUAUUAUGCUUUUGGGCUAAAAUUCAACCUUUUAUAUUGAAAUUUUGACAUAUAGCCAGACUGCCAAUCUGUCAAUCUGUUGGACUAAAAGUUGACAUACAAGUAUACAGCCAAUCUGCCAAUCUGUGCACAAUAGCAUCUGUGAUCUGCCUAUUCAAUUUCUACUACACAUGCAUGCAAUAAAAAUAAAUUAAGUAACAAAUCCGAAAGUAAAACAAAUUAGUUACAAGCCAAGGUUUUAAAAUAAAUAAAGUAAUAAACCCAAAAGCAAAAAAAUUAGUUACGAGCCAAAGUUUCAAAAUAAUUAAGUUACAAACCAAAAGCAAAAAAGCAAAGCUUAAAGUUUUUGAAGAUUGUUGGCCUCUUAUGUUGAUGGUUGAGCCUUUCCCCUUAAAAUGGAUGGUCGUGGAGGUAGUGAUU
rnacentral:lncRNA from 1 species